rnacentral:ncRNA from 1 species
UUUAAAGAGUGCGUAAUAGCUCACUGAUCGAGCGCCCUUGCGCUGAAGAUGAACGGGGCUAAGCGAUCUGCCGAAGCUGUGGGAUGUCAAAAUGCAUCGGUAGGGGAGCGUUCCGCCUUAGAGGGAAGCAACCGCGAAAGCGGGGGUCGACGAACCGGAAGCGAGAAUGUCGGCUUGAGUAACGAAACAUUGGGAGAAUCCAAUGCCCCGAAAACCCAA